AAAUUAUUUAUAUUGGCAUAGUUUAAUUUAUGUUUUUAGGAAUAAAAGCAAUGAAUUAAAAAGUAGAAAUUCAUUAAAAUGUUAAAAUGGAAAAAGAACCGUCUAAUGGUUUUAGUAGUGGUGAAUGAAAAAUUUAUUAUGGCUGGCACGAACAAGUACUGCAAAGGAAAAUUUGUAAAUUUUAGGUUAGUAGAGAUUUAAUCUUGUACCUUUUGUAUCAUGGUUCUUCUAGAUAAAAGCUUGUUAAUUAAGUAUUCCCGAAAAAAACUGAGCUAUUUUUUAGCAUUUACUAUUUUACGUCAACGUAGCAGAGUUGUGUAUAGACUAUGAAAUAGGGGUUAGAUGCCUUACGAAGUUUUUGAUUGCUGGUUGUUCAGGAAAUGCAUCAAAGUGCAGGCAAACAAAAUAUGAAAUAUUCCAAAUUAUAAGUUUAUUUAUUAUUAAUUUGGAAUUGAAGGUUUAGCUGACAUAGAAAAGGAUAAGCUUUUUUAUGGUACUAAAAGAAAGAUAUGGGGAAAAUAAGUUUGAUGGGCUUAGAAUUGGUCAUUUAAUAUCAUAAGUUUGUUAUAAAUUAACAAAUAAUCCGUAGUUUUUAAAAAUUUUGAUGUUCUUUCUUUAAAUGGUUGGUAGAGUACUGAUCUAAUUAGUUGAAUUUAGAUAGCUGAUUUAUUUCUGGUGAAAUGAGUAUUUAUGUGUGUUGUGGUAGCAUUUAUAUUAAUAAAAUUAGAGGAUUAAAAUAAUGGAUAUAUAUUGAAGUAUAGAUUAUUAAUAUUAUAAAUAUAUUAGUAUUAAUAGCACAAACCAAUUUGAAAAAAGGAACUCGGCAAACACGGCUUCGCCUGUUUAUCAAAAACAUCGCUCUCUGGAUUUAAUUUUAUAAUAAAAUACAUAGAGAGUCGGGCCUGCCCAGUGACAUUUAAUGUUAAACGGCCGCGGUACCCUGACCGUGCAAAGGUAGCAUAAUCAUUUGCCUUUUGAUUGAGGGCUAGUAUGAAUGGCUUGACGAGAGCUGGACUGUCUCUUUUCAAAUUUAUAAAAAUUAUCUUUUAGGUGAAGAGACCUAAAUUUAACUGAGUGACGAAAAGACCCUAUUGAGCUUUAGUAAAUUAAUAAAAAUAUUAUUUUCCGCAUUUAAAUGCAUUUGUAAUUUAUUAAAAAUCUUUAGUUGGGGCGACUUAGGAGCAAAAAAAGCUUCCUUUAUGUUUAUAAAAAAUUAGGGUAAUCAAAUCAAAUUAUGAGAUCCAGCAUGUGCUGAUCAAAGGAAGAAGUUACCAUAGGGAUAACAGCGUGAUCUUUCUGGAGAGUUCUUAUUGAAAGAAAGGUUUACGACCUCGAUGUUGGACUAAGAUAUCCUGGGGGUGCAGAAGCUUCUAAUGGUUAGUCUGUUCGACUAUUAAAAUCUUACAUGAUCUGAGUUCAGACCGGCGUGAGCCAGGUUGGUUUCUAUCUUCAGUUAAAAUUAUAAAUUAAGUUUUUGGUUAGUACGRAAGGACCGCUGUUAAAAUAAAUAAUUUAUAAACAUAAAAAUUCAUUUAAGGAUUAACUAUUAAAUUUUAACUAAUUAAGCAAGAAAAUGA
rnacentral:rRNA from 1 species